rnacentral:lncRNA from 1 species
CUAGAAUGCUCUAGGGUAAGGGAGAGUCAGAGCAGAAACUCAAGCCUCUCUGACCUCAAAGUCCAUGCUCUUGGUGGAGUAGCUCCCAUUGGACCAGCCCUCUCACAGGUAAUUAUAAAUGAAGGAUAAAAAAUAAAUAUACAUAUAAAAACUAUGUGAAGAUGAUGGAGAGUGACCUAAGCAGCCAAAUCUGGAGAGGAGUUGACACUUGGAAGAAUGGAAAGGCAUUGAUGGUUAUUCGUUUCUCGUGCAAUCCAGACCCUUUAUCAGCCUGAUUGCUUUCCUCCAACUGUUCAAUAGCUCUGUCUGUGGAUUCAUAAAAUUUGUGCUGCAGCUUCAUCUUUCAAGGCAAAAGACACAAGUAAUCGGGGAGCCGUGCUUCUGAGAGUUUCCAUGAACCAGGGAGGAAGAUGCCAAUUUAUAUUGUUAAGGUCACUUUCAUUCCCAUAUUGUGAAUACUACCAACAUGCAUUAAACUGCCUUAAAGUGGA